rnacentral:hammerhead_ribozyme from 1 species
CAUUGCUGAGGAGUCCCAUAAUAGGACGAAACGGCCGUCCAAUUG